UAGUUAAAGUAUCGAUAACUGAUCGAAAAUUAUUAUCAAAUAAAUACAAAAUUGAGUGUAUAUAUAAAUACAAAUUAAAUGAAACGUAACAUAGUUCACUCUAUAGUUGGAUGGUCUUGACCCUUAGUGUAUACUUUGACCCUUAGUGUAUACUUUGUGUUCACUCAGGGCACACAAGUCGCAAAGAAGCGCAACAGAUAGUGUUUAACCACUACACCAACUUGAUUCAUGAGUUACAAUGUACGCAUAUAAUUAUUUGAUCCUUAUUUAUGAAUAUACAUGUUAUAUUUAUAUACAUAAGUUUCCAAAACUAAUAGGUGCACGUGUCCCACUACCUCAAAGGGUGGAUCCGUCUCUGCGAAAAGCACCAACUUCCCUAGUACUGUUUGAAUAAAUUCAUGAAUCAUUUUUUUAUUUAGAGAUGUCAAAAGAAAAUAAAAAAUCGACUGAACCUAAUCGUAUCAAAUAAUCUCUUGAUUUGGACCAUAAAUGAAUGCUCUAAUAUCCAAAUCUUUGUGGUUGUGAAAUUAUCAUGACUUUCCAAAUAGUGAAUUUAAAUGUACAUGAAAACUAAGUCAUAUCAAUUAAUGUAAAGUGGAAAAUUGUGUGUGCCACCAAUGAUCCCAAGUGCCCCCAUAUUAAAAAUCUACUUUUAACAUUAUUGCACUACUGACCACCGCAUACCUUAUCUUAAUUAAUUACUUUAAAGAAAUCUUGAUAAUUGUCAUGAGUAGUCUAUUCAUCGCAAUAUGUGGUUUUAGUACAAUUAAUUCGAUGGCUCUAGUACAAUUAUAUUUUAUAAAUAAUCUUAGAAAUCAGCAAUUUACAAUUACGAGUUUAUAUUAUUACUUACAACUUAAACCUCUUCUUUGUUCUCUUAAUUAAGGAGUUUAUUUUAGUAUUAUAGUACUGUUUGAGUUUGAAGCUCGAUAGAUGAAUCUUACAAUUAAUUAAGCUCCCUUAAUCCAUGAAACUCGAAGUAUCGAUUUUCGUCUAGCCUCGAUGUAUAAUUUUAUAAUAGCGUCCAACUUUUAAUUCGAUAUGUUUUUAUAAUAAUAAAUUUUCAUAAGAUCCAUCUAUUUAGCAACAUGUUAUUGAUAGUGCCUUGACACUGUGACACUACGACAGCUAAGCAACAGUAUAUGUAGCAAGAAAUUCAAUUCAAUGGAAGAACCAAAUAUACAUUUGAUGUCGAUUGUUAAUUUCAAACCUUUAAAAAGCCUUUAAUUUUUAAAUUUCCUGCCUUUUUAGUAUCAAUAUUAUAAUUAGCUACUAAUAAUUUCACAAAAUUCACCAAGAAACAAGCAUGGUAAGACAAAAAUCCAAAACAUGGCCAAAGGUGAUCUAUUCAUGGUUGUCGUCAGCUCGUGUAAUAAGGUGUUGAAUUAAGUCCCACGAGCACAAUCCAACUAUUGUUUCACUAACUAGCUAAUCAGACGUGAGCCCCUCUUUGAACAGAUUACUCCUUUGAGAAAAAAAAUAUGCAAUAUUUGUUGGGUUUUAUUUGCCCUAAAUUUCUUAUUAUAAAUAGGUUUUCCUUGUAUUGACUAAUACUUUUCUUGUAAGAAAAGGUUUAGGACUCUAUAAAUAGAGGCAUGUUCCUUCUAACUUAAUCAGCAUUCACAAUGUAGUCUUAAGGGCUUUGAAAAUUUUGGGUAGGGGGAGAAUUUGUGGGUCACAAGUUUGAUACGUUAUCACUUGUGUGAACCUCCCAUGUAUUCCGAGUGAAUUGGUUGAGGUUGUUUCUCUCUGUAUUUUGUACUCUUAUAUUUAUAGUGGAUUGCUCAUCUCCUCUUGACCGAACCACGUUAAAUCUUUGUGUCUUUUGGUAUAUUUUUCAUUGUCUUCUUACUCGUGGUCUUUUAAGGUUUGCUUUGCUAGCUUCCGCGUUUACACCUGCUGAUUUUCGGUCCUACCAAUGUUUUAUUUUGUAGCUUUGUUCUUUUCAUGUAAAUUGAUCAAUUAGCUUAGUUAGUUAAGAGUUAGUUGGUUGAGAUGUUUCUCUUAGUGAGUACACGUGUAUUUAUACAGUGAUGUUGAAGUUACUUAAGUUGAUAUAUAACAAUCACACUAAACGUUACGUGUGAGGAAUGUGUUUUUAUCUUCUAUAUUUUUUUUUGGGAUUAAUUCUUAUCACGCUUCGUUAAAAUAAUAAUCGAUGAAUAUAUAUUUAUUCGUACACAUAUUAUACAACUUAUAUACUCUGAUCAUUAAUUAAUUAUUAUAAUUAUUUUUAACGAUCGAUUCGAUCCGUAACUUUAUCCUUUUUUCUUUUUAGUAGUUCUUCUGUUAGUUCCGUAGGUGCAAAAAUUUGAGUCUUGCCGACAGGCUAAUUAGUCGAUGAGGCAAAUUGAUAAAUCAAAGUCAACAUCAAGUCAUGUGUUUGAUUAAGAUUAAUUUUAUACAUUUGUCACCAUUAAUUAUUCAACACCUAUAGUUUGUUCUUCUCAUUUUAGACGGCAAAUAAGAGAUAAAGAUUUUUAAAAGUGAAUUAUUGGCACUUUAAACUGUUGGAAAAUAGCAUAUACAGCGGAAGCAUUCCAGAAUCAUACAUCUUGCAUGAAUAUAAAUAACAAUCACAAAUAGUUAUCACAUACAAAGUAUGCUGAAAAUUAACUCAGGAUUACCUCUUGAAGCGUGUGCAGAUAUCUUGAAGUAAAUCCAACUCCAGUUCUCUUCUACAGUAAUCUUCUACAGUGAUCCCAAUCAACAACUGAACUCUCUCAAUACUUG
rnacentral:lncRNA from 1 species